GACGAACGCUGGCGGCGCGCUUAACACAUGCAAGUCGAGCGAGAACCAGGGCUUCGGCCCUGGGGACAGCGGCGAACGGGUGAGUAACACGUGGGUAAUCCACCCUCGGCACCGGAAUAGCCCGGGGAAACCCGGAUUAAUGCCGGAUGGCCCGUCGACCCUUCGGGGCUGACGGAAAAGGUAGCUUUGGCCUCCGGCCGGGGACGAGCCCGCGGCGGAUUAGCUUGUUGGUGGGGUAACGGCCUACCAAGGCUCCGAUCCGUAGCUGGUCUGAGAGGACGAUCAGCCACACUGGGACUGAGACACGGCCCAGACUCCUACGGGAGGCAGCAGUGGGGAAUCUUGCGCAAUGGGCGAAAGCCUGACGCAGCGACGCCGCGUGGGGAAGAAGGCCUCGGUUGUAAC
rnacentral:rRNA from 1 species